rnacentral:rRNA from 1 species
AUGUGCUGUACUAGCCCUGCUCGCGCCAAUGAAAGAUGGUUUCCUUGGCGCAUGUGUACGGACAAUAGAGCCAUUAACAAGAUCACUGUAAGGUAUAGGUUCCCUAUUCCCUGUUUGGAUGAUAUGUUAGAUCAGCUUAGUGGAGCAAGAGUGUUCACAAAGCUGGAUUUAAGAAGUGGAUAUCAUCAAAUCUGUAUCAGACCCGGGGAUGAAUGGAUAACAGCCUUGAAGACAAAAGAAGGGUUGUUUGAAUGGCUAGUCAUGCCAUUUGGACUCUCAAAUGCAAACCUUUAUGCACUUGAUGAAUCAAGUCCUUUGACCCUUCUUAUCCCACUUUGUUGUGGUCUAUUUUGA